CUCCGGUUGAUCUGCCGGGACCUGACUGCUAUCGGAUUGGUACUAAGCCAUGCGAGUCGUUGUAGCAAUACAAGGCGGACGGCUCAGUAACACGUAGUCAACCUAACCUAUGGACGUGGAUAACCUCGGGAAACUGAGAAUAAACCGCGAUAGAUCAUUAUGCCUGGAAUGGCUUAUGGUUCAAACAAUUUAUUGCCGUAGGAUGGGACUGCGGCCUAUCAGCUUGUUGGUGAGGUAAUGGCCCACCAAGGCUAUAACAGGUACGGGCUCUGAGAGGAGAAGCCCGGAGAUGGGUACUGAGACACGGACCCAGGCCCUAUGGGGCGCAGCAGGCGAGAAACCUUAGCAAUGUGCGAAAGCACGACUAGGUUAAUCCGAGUGAUUUCUGUUGAAGAAAUCUUUUGUCAGUCGUAAAACCACAGACGAAUAAGGGGUGGGCAAGUCUGGUGUCAGCCGCCGCGGUAAUACCAGCACCUCGAGUGGUCAGGAGGUUUAUUGGGCCUAAAGCAUCCGUAGCCGGCUACGCAAGUCUCCGGUUAAAUCCAGCUGCUCAACAGAUGGGCUGCCGGAGAUACUACAUAGCUAGGGAGCGGGAGAGGUAGACGGUAUUCUGUGGGUAGGGGUAAAAUCCACUGAUCCAUAGAGGACCACCAGUGGCGAAGGCGGUCUACCAGAACGCGUUCGACGGUGAGGGAUGAAAGCUGGGGGAGCAAACCGGAUUAGAUACCCGGGUAGUCCCAGCUGUAAACGAUGCAAACUCGGUGAUGCAUUGGCUUAUGGCCAAUGCAGUGCCGCAGGGAAGCCGUUAAGUUUGCCGCCUGGGAAGUACGGACGCAAGUCUGAAACUUAAAGGAAUUGGCGGGGGAGCA
rnacentral:rRNA from 1 species